UCAAAUGGAAGAAGGUGGUAUUUGGGA
rnacentral:sRNA from 1 species